GAUGAACGCUGGCGGCGUGCCUAAUACAUGCAAGUCGAGCGAACAGACGAGGAGCUUGCUCCUCUGACGUUAGCGGCGGACGGGUGAGUAACACGUGGAUAACCUACCUAUAAGACUGGGAUAACUUCGGGAAACCGGAGCUAAUACCGGAUAACAUGUUGAACCGCAUGGUUCAACAGUGAAAGACGGUCUUGCUGUCACUUAUAGAUGGAUCCGCGCCGCAUUAGCUAGUUGGUAAGGUAACGGCUUACCAAGGCAACGAUGCGUAGCCUACCUGAGAGGGUGAUCGGCCACACUGGAACUGAGACACGGUCCAGACUCCUACGGGAGGCAGCAGUAGGGAAUCUUCCGCAAUGGGCGAAAGCCUGACGGAGCAACGCCGCGUGAGUGAAGAAGGUCUUCGGAUCGUAAAACUCUGUUAUUAGGGAAGAACAAAUGUGUAAGUAACUAUGCACGUCUUGACGGUACCUAAUCAGAAAGCCACGGCUAACUACGUG
rnacentral:rRNA from 1 species